UACGUAGGGUGCAAGCGUUAAUCGGAAUUACUGGGCGUAAAGCGUGCGCAGGCGGUUGUGCAAGACAGAUGUGAAAUCCCCGGGCUCAACCUGGGAAUUGCAUUUGUGACUGCACGGCUAGAGUGUGUCAGAGGGGGGUAGAAUUCCACGUGUGAGCAGUGAAAUGCGUAGAGAUGUGGAGGAAUACCGAUGGCGAAGGCAGCCCCCUGGGAUAACACUGACGCCUGGAGUGAGCGAAAGCCAGGGGAGCAAACGGG
rnacentral:rRNA from 1 species